UGAAAUGCCAUUAUGUGUUUUUUGAUAUGCUUGGUUUAUGGGUUUUUACUUGUACACACGAAAUCAAUAAGUAGUAUACAUCACUGUGAGAGGAUUUUGACUGCCUCUUCUGAGAAUUGAACUUUAUUCUCAGUUACUGCUCUUUUGGCUCUUUUGCCGACAUGAGGAUGUUAAUGAAAAUGGUUUAUUUCCAGUAAAACUUUACACUCG
rnacentral:misc_RNA from 1 species